rnacentral:lncRNA from 1 species
GGUUGAUAGAUAUACCUCUAUUUCAUUUAUUCUAAGUGCUGUGUAGUGAUCCAUCUGUACCACAAUUUAUGUAUUCAUUCUUUAAUUGAUUAACAUUGUCUGCUUUUUUAUCUCAUUUAUAUAUCCUUUUGCAAAUAUAUGAAGUUUCCCCUUGGUUAUGUACCUAGAAAUGGAAUUGUUGGGUUUUAAGGUACAAAUACUCUUUAUUUAUUUGAUAGCACAUUUUCCCUCUAUCUGUAUUAGUGAGAAUAUACUAGCUGUAGUAAUAAACAAUCUCAGAAUUACAGUGAUUUAAUACAUCAUAUGCUUCUUCUCUUUCUGCUGAUCAUCUUUUUCUGCUUCUCAGUGCUCACAGAAGACGGCUGCCAUUCAGCUUCUUAUUUCAAGCAGCUAGCAGGGACUAACUGCUAUUUUAACUCCCAAGGGAGUCAAAUUCCCAAAGGAGAGACUAAGACAGGCCACCUCAGGUCAAGCAUUUAUCAUUUAUCUAAUUAGCCAGAACAGCGGGAGGGGGUUUGCAGUUCAUAAGGGACUAUCAUGGCCCAUUCUUUGAUGAAGGCUGGGGAAUGGACAGUUCUCAGAACAGGGCAGCUGCAGCUCCAAAGGAAGUCACCCCUGGAAGGGCACAAACAGAAGUCUUCUCUGUCCCCAUCUCUACUGAAAAUUAACCAGCUUUCUCCUUUUGUUGAUUUUCCAGAACUACAAAUAUAGAAAUCUUUCACUUGGACGUUCUGCUUCUUGGUUAUUACAUGUUUCCUUCCAAAUUUCAUCUUCUCCCAUCUCCCUACAAACUUCAAAAGAGGUGUACAAAGGAACUUAAGAGCCAUUUUCUGCUUACCCACCUCUUUAGAAGGUGGGGAGGAUGACUCAGGAAAAUGCAGUAACUGACUGAUGCUAAUAUCAGAACACAAUCAGAAGCGGUCUUUAGGGGAAGCCUCAAGAUUUGCCAUUGAUCGCUGGUCUUGAAUCAAUUCAAGACUAGCCAUUAAAAGGCAAACCCUGGCAAUCCUUGGAAAGAAGAAAUUUGACUGUAAUACGGGCAGUAUGUGUUUGGGAGACCAAUGAUCAUUUGUAAGGCUUUCAACUGCGGCGACGGUAAAUCCAGGAAGUGAAUCAUUCCUCCGAGUGAUGGCUGUUAAGAGAGUCAUAUAGUAAAUUUCUCCCUUUACCAUGGAUUUCCAAUCACUGAAGUCAUCAGGUUGGCCUGAAGACCCCUCAAAAUAAUGUGUUGCUAUUGUGAAGGGCCACCUGUGCCUUACAACAAAUCACAUCUGAUCAACAUGUUCAGCCUUGUUCUCACCAUCACCUGCUCUCUUGUGUUCAAAAUUGCCACCACUCCUGUUUCUCUUACCACUGCUCUCUCUGCCUAGAAACUUAUGCCCUCUCCUCCUGUUCCCCAUCAUUCUUCCUGGAGUGGGGUCCUAAUCAUCCUUGAAAAUUCAUCUUAGGUGCCAUCCUUUAUGGGAAAAUGUCACUAAGUAUAUCCUUCCCAUUGUCAUUGAUAGCAGCUCUUCCUCAAACUGUAAUGUACAAAUAAAUUACCUGGGUAUCUUGUUAAUAUGCAGAUUCUCUUUCAAUAGGGCUGAGAUGGGGGUUUGCAUUUCCAGCAAACUCCCAGGUGCUGUUGAUGCUGCUGAUCUACAGUCUACACUUUGGGUACUAGAAUUUAAUAGGUAAGGAACACUUCUGCUGAGCUCUUGUAGCAUGCUAUGCAUUGAACUCUUCCCUAGAAUUCUUUUGCAAUGGUUCAAUUAUAUAUCUAUCUCUCCCACUAGACAGUGCCUCUUGAGGUCAGAAACUAUAAAUCUUUCAUUUGCAACUGAUAAGAAUACAACUGAAUCUAGACUGAGGGAAAGGGAAAGGGAGGAUGUUUUGGCUCAAUUAACUGAAACAAAAAAAUUCUAGACAUAGCUGGAUCCAGGGGCUCAACUGAUGCUUUGUGUACGUGCUUCCUUCCCUCCUUGGCUCUGCUUUAUGCAGUACGGAAUUCAUGGUAAAGGAAGUGAAAGUAGUGAGCUUAGCAACCUCAACAGGAAGAAUAUACUCCUUCUCAGGUGCUCACAGACUAAUAGAGAAGAUGGGUUAAAUCUAAUAACAGAAACAUGUUCAGGGUCAAAUGAGACCUGAGAUGAUUAGAAACCUACUCAACCUGGAGAAUUCAGAGAGGGAUACUGAGGGUUGAGGUAAAAGGAUCAGGAGAAGCUUUCCAGAGUAGGUAAUGUCAGACCUGGGUCUUAAAGAACGACUGUGAGUUUGCUAAGGAAGAAUAUCCAAGCAGAAGUCACCUUGUAUGCCCGCUUAGACAGCAACUUCGUUAAUAAUGAAAAUAAAAAUUGGAAAAGUCAAUUUGAUAUCUAGAUAACUGAGUUUUGUAAUGCCAAAUAUCAGGGUAUUUGAAAAUACCUAAAUGGCCUGAGUAAGAUCAUAAAAUCUUAAUGCUGGUACGCUAAGUAUCAUCUAAUCGGAAUUUCUUAUUUUACAGAUGAGAAAAUAAAUUGAGACCCUGAAAUUUUAAAUAAUCAAACAUUUAUUGACUCUUCUGAAGGCAUUAAUAAUUCCUCUGCUUAUUCUCAAAUACCCAGGUGCAUGCAGUGAUACUAAUAAAACCAUAAUUUCAGAGAUCAAUAAAGUAACACUUCCAAGGGAGACAAGUUUUUUUUCUAAUCAAGAUUUUCACAAGCAAACAAGGCUUCUAAGAAAUAUAUCCAUGCACUUUUUCAAAAAACUUCAAAAACAAUAAUAGAACAAACUGUUAGGAAUAGAAAACCAAAUACCACAUGUUCUCACUUAUAAGUGGGAGCUAAAGAGUGAGAACACAUGGACACAUAGAGGGGAACAACACACACUGGGGCCUUUCUGAGGGUGGAGGGUGGGAGGAGGGAGAGGAUCAGGAAAAAUAACUAAUGAGUAACAGGCUUAAAACCUGGGUAAUGACAUAAUCUGUACAACAAACCUCCAUGACACAAGUCUAUCUAUGUAAUAAACCUGCACUUGUACCCCUGAACUUAAAAUGAAAGUUAAAAAAAAAAGAAAAAAGUAUCAGGAAUUCAUUUAGCAAAUAUCUUAUGCACAGAUACUAUGAGGCGGGCACAAUGCUAAAGAAACUAAAAGGGUUGUGAAGAUAAAUAAGACGUCGCCUGUGCCCUGCAGUGGAAAUCAUGAUUGAGAAAUUACCUUCAGAGAGAUUAAAAUUUCUAAAACCUAUAGCUUUAAAAUAGAGGAUAAUAGGAUUGAGAGUGAAGUUACAUUGUGAGUAUCUUAAAUUUUUCUAAUUCAAACAUACCAGGAACAAUUCAAACACAAAUGCAUGCACACAGGUGUACAUUCAGAUGAGGCAGUCAGCUUCAGAGGUGAUGUUUGUUACCCCUGAAUCUAAAUUUUAUGGAUUCAGAUUGAAGCCUCAUCAAGUGCUAAUUGUAUGACAUGUGACAAAUCACCUAACGUCUUCUGCCUUAAUCCCCACAUGUGUAAAAAAUGGGGACAAUUAAGUACAAAUAUUUUAGAAUUGCUGUGAAGGUCACAUGAGAUCAUACAUGUAAAGUGUUUGGGGCAGGAACUUGAACAUAGUAAGCACUUCUAAUGUUUCCUCUCACAACGGUAGAUGGUUCUGCCCUGCAUUCUACCCUAAGAACACGCCAUUUUCCCUUGAGUGAGGAUGAAGAGGGCUAUGGGAAUCUGUGGCUUUUUUUUUUUUUU